rnacentral:lncRNA from 1 species
AACUUCUCAACAUCACGUUCUAUUGUGGAAGCACGCCUGAACAUCAGAAUUACGGGUUAAUUUACUUGUGUAUUGGAGGCCCAUGACGCCCUCAUCACCAGCAGAGGCUUACACAGCCACGUACUCAACAGUCUCUAGUACCACCAGUGCUGCGACAAACAAGGAUACCACAAGCUACAGGUAUGCGUUUACCUCUCUGAAAUUCGCUUCAAAUAAAAGCCGUGCACUGGACCCCUGGCGAGGUGACAGUCUUACGCUGCGCUGCGUGGGAGUAUCUAAGGGGUGUAUAGAUCAAGAUGCAACGGAAGUCCAGUCCUGCGAGAAAUUGCUCUUGUCACGUUACUGAUCACUAGAAUGUCAAAUAUGCUCCAGAAUAUGGUUAUGAGCAAGCAUGGAUCUCACCGUGAAGCUUUGGUGCAGUUGCUGGUAGAUCGCAUCGCACACAUAUAUGAUUCUGACUGUGUAAUUCUGCAGCAUACCGGAGGCAAGAAGUCCUAUGCAGACAGAAAAAAAGC